rnacentral:rRNA from 1 species
UGGUGGAGUGGUUUGUCUGGUUAAUUCCGUUAACGAACGAGACCUCAGCUUGCUAACUAGUUGCUCGAAGAUUUUCUUCGCGCAGACUUCUUAGAAGGACUUUGAGCGUUUAGCUCAUGGAGGUUUGAGGCAAUAACA